UUUUUUUUUUUCUCAAAUGAAAUAUUAUAUUAAACAUCCGAACAAUACAAAGUUCAACAUACAAGCCUCUUAAGAGAUUACAGAAAAGUUGAGGCCCAAACCAGAGCCUACCAAAAUAACACCGACUCCUGAGAAGAAAUAUCAUCUUUGAUCUUUUGACUCAAUCUAAAAACACGUGUCAUCAAGAGGAUAAACCUCAAUACGUGUUAGAUGAGUAAUCAGAAGGAUUCCGAUAACAACCUCUGCUGUUUGAGCAGUGAUUCCGGUGAGAGAAUCAUCGUCGAAAAACAAUCGAACUGUAUUGUGAUUCUUUUGGUAAUCACGGAAGCUUAACCAUCAAAGCUUCAUGAUAGUUAACAGCAUAAGGAAAUCCAAAUAAGCGUCGGAAAAUUCUUCGCUCCUUCAAACUAGAGAUGUCAUCUCUAAGCGAUUCCUGUAACUCGAAAUCUUCAAAAGAUCUAGCCAGAGAUUAAUAGAUUUAAGGCACACAACACUAACCCUAAACCAGAUAUGAGGCGCUUAUUAAAAAAACCAUAAAAUCUAAAGAUAAUAAAAAGUAAAAACAAACUAUAACAAUCAGUUUAAGACCGAUUCAAAACAAAAGCAACUAUUACGCCGGCCAAACCGCAUGUAGAAGUCGAUUUGCCGGAUGAGAACCGACCAUCUCCGCUAACAGAGCCAGAAGAUGUCGAGAAGAGAACCAACCAACCAUAGCAUGAGAAUUGCCAAUGGAUGUUGGGCUGAAGCCGGUUAAAACUAACCGGACGGCCUUGCCGGAGUUUCCGGACGGCGGACUAAAGAACAAAGUUCGACUCUCUCUCUAAAGGAUAUGAAAGAGAGAAGAGAGAGAGUGAUUUAAUCCUCUGCAUCUAGAGAACAAUAGUGUCAUCGAAAAGUUAACUUCAUUGUAUAUAUGUAAAGUAUACUGUAAUUUGCAAAAGUGUUC
rnacentral:lncRNA from 1 species